UCGGCGACCGGUGCACGGGUGAGUAACGCGUAUCCAACCUGCCCAUAACUAAGGGAUAACCCAGCGAAAGUUGGACUAAUACCUUAUGUAUUCGUUUGAUCUCAUGAGAUUACGAAUAAAGAUUUAUCGGUUAUGGAUGGGGAUGCGUCUGAUUAGCUUGUUGGCGGGGUAACGGCCCACCAAGGCAACGAUCAGUAGGGGUUCUGAGAGGAAGGUCCCCCACAUUGGAACUGAGACACGGUCCAAACUCCUACGGGAGGCAGCAGAC
rnacentral:rRNA from 1 species